CGCCAGGGGACAGGAGCGCAACUCUGCCCCUUAUCAUGGCUCCCAGCAACUUGUGAUUCACAGAGGCAUCCUCCCUCCUCAGGCUGGAUCUGCCUCUCUGACUUGAAUGAAGGAUUGUCUGCAGCUGCACAAGAUCUGUGGGGAGAGAGAAUCAGAGUUAUGAAUCGUGAUAAUUAUACACCAGAAAUUCCAUGAUCAAACCUACAUAUAUGGAGCCCAAGGUCAAAAGCUAUGGGAUGUAUUUUUCAAGGAACUCCAAGUGAAUGACAAUGGAGAGACCCCAGCUGAUAUCCAAUAUGCAGCACCUUACUGGUCGAGGUCUGCGUCAAAGUUCACAACAAAUCUUGGGAAUUACAUAAUUGAAAGCCCCAAAGGCUAGGUGCUGAUUCUCAACAACAACCUCAUCAAUCACACCUGUCAUUAUGGUCAUGUUCUUGUUUGUUAAGCACCUUUUUUGAAGUUUAUACCAACUUAAUUCAUUUAAUUUAUACCAACUUAGUUCACCUUGCUGGAAGGUCCCCAACACUUAUCAGUGUUUAUGAAUAUUUUCACAGAUGAGCUCAUACCAGUAACUAUCCACCUUGAAUGGAAUUGUUAGCUUUAUUAGUUACUU